UGACCUACUAUUCCCCCUAACCGAGAUCAUGGGGUUAAAAUAUCUCUCAUAUCCGCCAGUAAAGGGAUUGGUGGAAAUAAUCGUAUCG
rnacentral:ncRNA from 1 species